rnacentral:rRNA from 1 species
UACGGAGGGAGCUAGCGUUGUUCGGAAUUACUGGGCGUAAAGCGCACGUAGGCGGCGAUCUAAGUCAGAGGUGAAAGCCCGGGGCUCAACCCCGGAAUAGCCUUUGAGACUGGAUUGCUUGAAUCCAGGAGAGGUGAGUGGAAUUCCGAGUGUAGAGGUGAAAUUCGUAGAUAUUCGGAAGAACACCAGUGGCGAAGGCGGCUCACUGGACUGGUAUUGACGCUGAGGUGCGAAAGCGUGGGGAGCAAACAGG